UGUUAAGUGUGAUAACUCACAUUACAAACGGUUUGUUUGUCCCACGGAAGAAUCGAAACCAAAUCGAUCACUUCGCAGUUGACUCCAAACUGUUUCUUGGCCAUGUCGGCCACUUCUGUCAGCACGUGAAUUUGGGUUCCCCAACCGAUUAACGUGACAUCGCUUCCGGCACGCAGAAUAUCGGCUUUUCCGAUAGGACUUUCAAAGGCAGCCACCGGAACUUCCUCGACAGCUGCUCGGUACAAAGUUUUCGGUUCGAAUACAAUGCACGGAUCCUUUUCGCGGAUGCAUGACAACAGCAAGCCCUUGGCCUUAUUUGGUCCCCUCGGAACGACAAUCUUCAAACCAGGUGUGUGGGCAAAGUACGCUUCCGGGCUCUGCGAAUGAUAACAAGCACCAUGACCUACAGCUCCACUAGGUGCCCGGAAUGUGAGCGAUCCACAGUCGUACAAAUUUCCGCUGCGAUACCGGUACUUGGCCGCUUCGUUAACAAUCUGAUCGAAUGCUGGGAACAUGUAAUCAGCAAACUGCAACUCAGCGAUGGCCGUUGCUCCGGUGUUCGCAACACCGAUAGCGAAUCCGGCUAUUCCCUGCUCGCAGAGUGGGGUAUUGAAUACCCGAUCUUUGCCGUACUUGGCUUGCAAGUUCAUCGAGCAACGAAAAACUCCUCCAAAGGCCACAUCUUCACCGAAAACAAGAGCCGAGCUAUCUCGUUGCAUUGCAAGAUCCAGAGCAUUGUUGAUGGCCUGAUGGAGAAACAAAUUACCUUACAAUCAUCUGAUUCAGAGAGCAAAUAAAUUAAAUUACCUGGAACAUAUUCAUCUUUUGAGUUGGUCCAGCUACGGGUGCUUUGGCAUCCGGUUGGUACACGAAGUGUGACGAUGCACGGACAAAGUCCUUAGCACCAGAAUUCGCCGAUUGUUUACAUCUUGCCAAGGCGGAACCGCUUAGUCUGAGGAACCUGCUGCUCAUGAUAGUGAUUGAUGGUUUACGAUCAAAGGACCUGUUACGAAAAAUAAACCAAAACACCAAUCGUUAAUCAACAAUUACGUUACAAUACGAUUAAGAAACAUCGGUCGGUCAAUAGUUUCGCGUGUGGUAACAGAUUUGCGAAAUUGGCUCAUUACCAAUGCGGCCAAGAUUGACUAGAAUCAGUGACUAGGUUUCACUACUGCCAAUUUAAACUUUAAUCGUCACGCGUUAUGUAACAAAAUAACAGGUGGCAAUCAAGCAGGACAGAUUAUUCGGUGUCAACAAAUAGUUUUAGUCAAAAAUCAUGUGUAGUAUACCCUCAAUUCUUAAGGUAAGGUACUGGAGAAGAUUCUAAUCUAAAAAUGUUACAAAUUACCCUAAAAGAAACCGAAAACUUACCCUGCGAUACAGCACACGAUGAUGUUAUCAAGCCUAGUCCACACUCGGCAACUUGAAAUGCGAUUUCGGUUGCUGAGACUUGUUUAUGUUUACAUCUUGGUUGCUGAAUGUCUCCCAUACUAGUCGGGAGACUUGAGACGAGUAUCUCAUCAAAUGUAAACAAAAACAAGUCUCAGCAACCGAAAUCGCAGUCCAAGUAGCCUAGUGUGGACUAGGCUUCAGCUUUUGGACAAAUAUUUUUGUUUACAUCGCCAUGCGUAGGGAACGUAACGGAAAACGGAACUGGAGUGGAGUCCACUGAACUGAACCAAAUCGCUUCAUCGCUUUUGAAAGCGCUCCUCGUUUGGUAUAUAUAAAUCCGUUUUGCAUAAAUCACAACCCUGAUUGUUGUUUACACGUCAAAUAAAAAUUCUAGAAACCAUGCAGGAAACAUUUCGUUUAACUCAAGAAAAAUUAUCAAUUGAGACUAUAAAUUGAUCAUUUCCGACUAAGUUGACCAUUCUAAAUUGAUCUCUAAUUUUAAAUCAAUUGAGUACCAAUUGUUUUCGAUAUUGUUUCCUUCUAUGUUGGCCCCGAAUUUUCCGUAGAGACUCGUAUACUAUAGUGUCCAUUUCAAUUCCUGAUUCUUUCGAGAAGGUCGAAGAGCUACUUCCGAAUCAAUAACCCGGGCUAGUUUGAAAAAAAAACUGGACCAGUUUCUUUGAACGUUUGAAAAUCGUCCAUUUCUAGAAAAGACGUGCAUAACAAAUCCACUUUUAAUGUGGUUAUUUCAUAAGACCAAGCCCACCCAAUGGUUGCUAAACCACGAAUCGAGCACAUUCAGCAACAUUAGUGAUAUGAAUAAGGUUUAGCAAUUGCUUCGGUAGCUUUUACUUAGCUCGAAAUCAAUCAAAGCAAAAGUUCAAAGCAUUUGCUUAGUUUGGUAUGAAUAAACAUUUGCUUAGCGGAUGUGUACUAAAGUCUUAGAACAUAGCUUUUGCUUCGAAAAAUAGAGCUAUCCAACCAGCAGAAUCUGAAGUUUUCUAAAGUAAAAUGAAAGAAGACGAUCAGAAAAUUGAAAAGUACGGCUAAAGUAGCCUUGAAGUCGACGAAGCGGGUGGUGCGUGUAAGAACGACCGGAAUUUUUUGUUAAUGCGUGCUCGUAUGUUGAUGUUUAAAGAAAAAUGAAUACAUAUUCGAAUAUUGUCAAACAAAAAAUGGCCUAACUUUAAUAUUUAUCAUAAGCUCUCCCACAUGUAUUCGGAUCGGGAUAAUCCGAUGUAUAAAAAAAAUAGGCAAUAGGCGCGCAUUUUAAUUUAGAUUUUUUUUAAAUCUUAGGAUUAUAAAAAAUUAUUAAAAAUGAGAGAUCUGUAUAAUGUUUUAAAUUAUUACAAUUUAUUUCUUACUUUGAGCCAAUUGGGACUUCUUCCACUAUAGCCGGAUUUUUUUUUUAAUUUGAAAUAUUUACUAAUUGAUUUGUUGAUUGUCAUCUUAGACGAAUGAUUUCAUACAACGACAGGAAUAUGAAAAAAGUUGGGUUAUCACUUCGACUUUUCUUUAUCCAUGUUGAAAAUACCUUAUUGAAUUGUUUUGAAGUGAAAUAUUGCUAAUUUGAUAAGUUCAUGACGUUAUUAAAGAAUUUUUUAUUGGAAAAGUCUGCUACCGAGCAUGCUUAGAAAAUAAAGCAAUUACUAUGAGAUUUGUCGAGCAAUUGCUUCAGAUUUGAGCUUUAUUCAUACCAAACUAGCUUGUUCUAAAAGUAAAAGCUCCUGACUGAGAAAACAGCUGUCAAAAAAAACUUUAUUCAUAACAACCGAAGCAAUUGCUUUAAGCGACUGCUCGAUUCAGUUUAGCAAAAGCAAUUACUAAGUUUUUUUCAUACCACCCCAUAUCUAUCAACCGAUCAUCGCACCAGCAGUCGCUAACUUGAUUCGAGAAAUAGCAUUCGAGCAGUAGGUUGUUACAGGAUGCGUUUAUGUAGCAACCCGGUAGCAACGCAGCCGGUCGUCGCUAUCAGAAAAUAAACAAAUACAAAUACCAAUCUGGAUGGCAACAAUGGGUGCGAAAAUCAGUAAGUAGAUAAAAACGCAACCCAUCAAACCAUCUAAAAUACCGAUCGAAAUGGCAACGCCCGGUGGGCUUGGUCUAAAUAAAAAGUUGAUUUUUUUUUUCAAAGUUACCUUCCAUGGAUAACAAUAAAUCUUAGCUCAAAUUACCCACAUUACAAACUACACCUCUGCAAUAAAUCCGUUUUCUGAUUGUCCCAAAACAACUUAAAAUUCUCUCAAUCGCAUCAUCUUCGUUGAUGAAGAUGAGAGUCGUUCGCUGGUUGGCAGGGCUGCCAACUUUUUUUCUGAAAUUCAGGGAGCUUGAAAAUAAAAAUGCCUUUUUCGAUCACCGUUGUAAAAUGUUGUGGAACUGUUACACACUAACGUUCAUGAUUCUUUUAAAUUUGCUACAUGCUCAGUGUCACUUCAACCUUAAAAUGGUUGACUACUCAUAUCCACCUUAAAUCAUUGGACUUCUUGGCUGGCCUUCAGUUAAUAUCGAAAAACAUCAUUUAAAUAUCAUUUGAAAUAUCAUUAUCGGAAAAACUGGUUAAACUAUUUACUUAAUAAUUUGUUUGAUUUUUCAUCAUUUAACAAUAAAUUUAGAAAUAAUAUUAUUUUUAAAAAUCAGGACAAAUUAGGACAAUUUAAGGGUCAUUUUUGAAAAAUCAGGACAAUGGCCCUUGUCGGCAAGCGCCUGCACAUAACGACCGCUUGGAGCCGCCACUAGUUCCCUCUCAAUGGAGAGAGAGUCUGUCGAAAGAGAGAAAAUUUUAUCCGUUUUGUUAUGAUCUUGAUUUUUUGUUUUGAUUCUACAUAUAAACUUGGAACACAGCAGCAUAAAAAACCAAAAUUCAACCUCAUUUUUUUACAAUUCAGUUUUUGGUAAGUUUCCGAAGGUUUUUCUAAGAAUUUUCUACGAUUUAGCAUUAAAUUUUAAAUUUUUCAUCAACAUAUUUUCUUAUUUUAAGUUUAACUACACCGGAUGUAACGGACGUUCUGUUAAGCAACUGGUCACAACAAUUUACUCGUUUGGUACGUGUUAGGUGUUGCCUCGUCCUGCAGCAAAAUGCUCUUCCAAAAGAAUCGGAUUAUAUUUGCAGCUUUGAGAGGUUAAGCAGAGUGUGGAUCUGACCGCGGGUUUCCAGUUGGAUGUGGCGAUAGUUGUAGAGAGUUGACGGAAAAAAAGUUCCCAUCUAAUUUAUCUUAAUGCUAACAAACCGCACCAGAUGACUUUGACGUUUCGGUUUUGAGCUGCUGGCUACAACGAUUUCUCCAUUUGGUUCAAUAUCCGGAGCCGAAUAUGUUGCCAAGAAAUACAUUUUGGUAAACAGCACCGAAUAUGGGACAUUUUUUCCUGCACAGAUCGGAACAUGCCACAGUAACAUAAGCCGGCCGCUUCAUGGAUGCGGCAAGCAAAUCAAGCCGAAAAAUUAUAAUACGAAUCGAGAUCGCAGAGUGUUUGAAUUGCUGUUUAGAAACGUGAAUAACAAAAUGAACAAUAAAGUUUAUUUUUAAAA